rnacentral:rRNA from 1 species
UGGGGAAUUUUGGACAAUGGGGGCAACCCUGAUCCAGCCAUCCCGCGUGUGCGAUGAAGGCCUUCGGGUUGUAAAGCACUUUUGGCAGGGAAGAAACAGCCUGGGAUAAUACCCCGGGCGACUGACGGUACCUGCAGAAUAAGCACCGGCUAACUACGUGCCAGCAGCCGCGGUAAUACGUAGGGUGCAAGCGUUAAUCGGAAUUACUGGGCGUAAAGCGUGCGCAGGCGGUUCGGAAAGAAAGGUGUGAAAUCCCAGGGCUUAACCUUGGAACUGCACUUUUAACUACCGAGCUAGAGUACGUCAGAGGGGGGUAGAAUUCCACGUGUAGCAGUGAAAUGCGUAGAGAUGUGGAGGAAUACCGAUGGCGAAGGCAGCCCCCUGGGAUGAUACUGACGCUCAUGCACGAAAGCGUGGGGAGCAAACAGGAUUAGAUACCCUGGUAGUCCACGCCCUAAACGAUGUCAACUAGUCGUGGAUUGGCAUUUAUCAUACUUAACGUAGCUGACAGCUAACGGUGAAAGUUGACCCGCCUGGGGAGUACGGUCACAAGAUU